rnacentral:rRNA from 1 species
CUACGAUGGAUAGGGGUUCUGAGAGGAAGGUCCCCCACAUUGGAACUGAGACACGGUCCAAACUCCUACGGGAGGCAGCAGUGAGGAAUAUUGGUCAAUGGACGUAAGUCUGAACCAGCCAACUAGCGUGAAGGAUGACUGCCCUAUGGGUUGUAAACUUCUUUUAUAUGGGAAUAAAGUAUUCCACGUGUGGGAUUUUGUAUGUACCAUAUGAAUAAGGAUCGGCUAACUCCGUGCCAGCAGCCGCGGUAAUACGGAGGAUCCGAGCGUUAUCCGGAUUUAUUGGGUUUAAAGGGAGCGUAGGUGGAUUGUUAAGUCAGUUGUGAAAGUUUGCGGCUCAACCGUAAAAUUGCAGUUGAAACUGGCA